CAUCGACAUUCUUGCCUAUAUAUGGGCAUAUUUCUGGUGUCCCCACUUCAUUACCUGCACGACAUCACAAGCUACAGGUGCCUCCGCCAACUCUCCUCGGCAACUCACUCGAUAUCCAGGUUUUGACAAGUAAUCAAACACCAUGUGUGACGAAGAUGUUGCUGCUCUGGUUGUGGACAACGGGUCCGGGAUGUGUAAGGCCGGCUUCGCUGGGGAUGAUGCCCCGAGGGCCGUCUUCCCGUCCAUCGUGGGCAGGCCACGCCAUCAGGGUGUGAUGGUCGGUAUGGGCCAGAAGGACAGCUAUGUCGGUGACGAGGCUCAGAGCAAGAGGGGCAUCUUGACCUUGAAAUAUCCGAUCGAACACGGCAUCGUCACCAACUGGGACGACAUGGAGAAGAUCUGGCACCACACCUUCUACAACGAGCUGCGUGUCGCUCCCGAGGAGCAUCCUGUGCUUCUCACUGAAGCUCCGCUCAACCCCAAGGCUAACAGGGAGAAGAUGACACAGAUCAUGUUCGAGACCUUCAACAGCCCGGCCAUGUACGUGGCCAUCCAGGCCGUUCUGUCCCUGUACGCCUCCGGUCGGACGACUGGGAUCGUGCUGGACUCCGGGGAUGGUGUGUCCCACACGGUGCCCAUCUAUGAAGGCUACGCUCUCCCACAUGCCAUUCUUCGAAUGGACUUGGCAGGAAGGGACCUGACAGACUACAUGAUGAAGAUCUUGACUGAGAGGGGGUACUCUUUUACCACCACAGCCGAGAGAGAAAUCGUUCGUGACAUCAAGGAGAAGCUGGCCUACGUCGCCCUGGACUUCGAACAGGAGAUGGAAUCUGCUGCCCGGAGUUCCAGCCUGGAGAAGAGCUACGAGCUGCCUGAUGGUCAGGUCAUCACCAUCGGGAACGAGAGGUUCCGCUGCCCUGAGGCCCUUUUCCAGCCGUCCUUCCUCGGAAUGGAACAGAAUGGAGUUCACGAGACUACCUACAAUUCAGUCAUGAAGUGUGAUAUCGACAUCCGUAAGGACUUGUACGCCAACGCCGUCCUGUCCGGCGGUACAACCAUGUUUCCUGGCAUCGCAGACCGCAUGCAGAAGGAGAUCAGCGCCCUUGCUCCUCCAACCAUGAAGAUCAAGAUCAUCGCUCCUCCCGAGAGGAAGUACUCCGUGUGGAUCGGCGGGUCCAUCCUGGCCUCCCUGUCCACCUUCCAACAGAUGUGGAUCAGCAAGCAAGAGUACGACGAGUCGGGACCCUCCAUCGUCCACCGCAAAUGUUUUGACAAGUAAUCAAACAUGUGUGACGAAGAUGUUGCUGCUCUGGUUGUGGACAACGGGUCCGGGAUGUGUAAGGCCGGCUUCGCUGGGGAUGAUGCCCCAAGGGCCGUCUUCCCGUCCAUCGUGGGCAGGCCACGACAUCAGGGUGUGAUGGUCGGUAUGGGCCAGAAGGACAGCUAUGUCGGUGACGAGGCUCAGAGCAAGAGGGGCAUCUUGACCUUGAAAUACCCCAUCGAACACGGCAUCGUCACCAACUGGGACGACAUGGAGAAGAUCUGGCACCACACCUUCUACAACGAGCUGCGUGUCGCUCCCGAGGAGCAUCCUGUGCUUCUCACUGAAGCUCCGCUCAACCCCAAGGCUAACAGGGAGAAGAUGACACAGAUCAUGUUCGAGACCUUCAACAGCCCGGCCAUGUACGUGGCCAUCCAGGCCGUUCUGUCCCUGUACGCCUCCGGUCGGACGACUGGGAUCGUGCUGGACUCCGGGGAUGGUGUGUCCCACACGGUGCCCAUCUAUGAAGGCUACGCUCUCCCACAUGCCAUUCUCCGAAUGGACCUGGCAGGAAGGGACCUGACAGACUACAUGAUGAAGAUCUUGACUGAGAGGGGGUACUCUUUUACCACCACAGCCGAGAGAGAAAUCGUUCGUGACAUCAAGGAGAAGCUGGCCUACGUCGCCCUGGACUUCGAACAGAGGAUGGAAUCUGCUGCCCGGAGUUCCAGCCUGGAGAAGAGCUACGAGCUGCCUGAUGGUCAGGUCAUCACCAUCGGGAACGAGAGGUUCCGCUGCCCUGAGGCCCUUUUCCAGCCGUCCUUCCUCGGAAUGGAACAGAAUGGAGUUCACGAGACAACCUACAAUUCAGUCAUGAAGUGUGAUAUCGAUAUCCGUAAGGACCUGUACGCCAACGCCGUCCUGUCCGGCGGUACAACCAUGUUUCCUGGUAAGAGGCAGUCAUGA